GUUGGCUUGGGAGAGAGAGUGAAAGAACCCCUCACAGCUGGGGCCAUGCUGAACCCACUGGGGCAAGCACCAAGUACUGGAGUUAGAAGUUGUUUGUGUGUGGCCCCUGCGACAGAGCCACAUCCUCAUCAUGAACCAGACCAGACCAAAAACACUCAUUCCCCUGCUCCCCACUCCCCAGUGCGUGUACCCAUUGUCCAGCCCCCAAAUCUGCAGGGGCCACCUUAUGUGCCAAGCACACCUGCUCUAAGAUGACCUUUAACAAGGACCGUAAGCCUGCCUCAGCACCAUGCUUCCCCACCUGUCUGUCUCUAACAGGCCCUUCAAAAUCACAUACCCAGCUUCUGUGAUACCAUCCAGCAUCAGCCAGUCAGGCUACAGCAGACUGUCAGCUCUUCAAAGACAGAGAUUUGUGUUUCUGUUGGUACACUGAUACAUCCCAAGUGCUUCAAAAAGUGCCUGGCAUAUUACACAACGAGAAAGUGGCCAUCUACAGGCCAGGAAGAGAGUUUUCACCAGGAGCCAUUCCUGCCAGAUCUUGACCUGGGACUUCCAGGUUCCAGGACUGUGAGAAAUAGGUGUCUGUUGUUUAAGCCACCCAGUCCGUGAUAUUUUGUUCUAGCAGCCUGAGCUGACUGAGACAGGGUCAGAGAGGACACACGCAAGCAUGCAUGAGGCUGGGAGGCAAGGGGAAGAAGAAGAGAAGCAGGAGAGGCUGUCAAAUGUACCUAAAAGAGGAGCUGGGGGAAAAGCAGAGGAGAGAAGGCCUGGGGUAGGGCAGAGGCCUCUAGGCCAGGGCUUUGCUUAUGGGGGGGUAGGGGGGAGCACUCAGUUAAUAAUCACACACCAACCACCAUGCUAUUGGGCCCAGUGCGAAAGCCUGGGAACACAAGGAUGACAAGACACAGCCCCAGCUCCUCAGUCAGGGAAGGGAACACGUCACAGGAGAAGCCCUCCACCUUGGUCUUCAAGGUGAUGAAGGAUUCUGCCAGCUGGUUCAGGGAUGAGGGGAAAUGAGAAGGUACUUCCGGUAGAGGCAAAAGCUUAAGCAAAGGUUCUGAGGAGUGAAGACAAUGGCAUGGGGGACAUGAGAGGGCACUGUGCUUGAUUCUGCCUUUCCAGGUGUGCCUAAAGUCACUGUGAAAAGGCUGCAGGUAAGUCUAUGCCACCAGGAGGGAGCAAUUCCAUUAUCACCAGUAACAGACAUGCCAGGCCUGUCCGUCCCCGCUGUGC